rnacentral:tRNA from 1 species
CGGGGUGUAGCUCAGCUUGGUAGAGCGCUUGGUUCGGGACCAAGAGGUCGCAAGUUCAACUCUUGUCACCCCGA